rnacentral:rRNA from 1 species
GAAGUAGCAAUACUUAGUGGCGAACGGGUGAGUAUAAUGUGGGUAUCUGCCCUUUGGUUUGGAAUAACACGAGGAAACUUGUGCUAAUACCGGAUAAGCCUUCACAGGGAAAGCUUUAGCGCCAAAGGAUGAGCCCGCACUUGAUUAGCUAGUUGGUAAGGUAAUGGCUUACCAAGGCUACGAUCAAUAGCUGAUCUGAGAGGAUGAUCAGCCACAUUGGGACUGAGACACGGCCCAAACUUNUACGGAAGGCAGCAGUGGGGAGUCUUGCACAAUGGGGGAAACCCUGAUGCAGCGAUGCCGCGUGAGUGAAGAAGGCCCUUGGGUUGUAAAGCUCUUUCGUCGGGGAAGAAAAUGACUGUACCCGAAUAAGAAGGUCCGGCUAACUUCGUGCCAGCAGCCGCGGUAAUACGAAGGGACCUAGCGUAGUUCGGAAUUACUGGGCUUAAAGAGCACGUAGGUGGUUAAGAAAGUUGGUGGUGAAAUCCCAAGGCUUAACCUUGGAACUGCCACCAAAACUUUUUAACUAGAGUAUGAUUGAGGUAAGCGGAAUUUCUAGUGUAGAGGUGAAAUUCGUAGAUAUUAGAAAGAACACCAAUUGCGAAGGCAGCUUUCUGGAUCAUUACUGACACUGAGGUGCGAAAGCAUGGGUAGCGAAGAGGAUUAGAUACCCUCGUAGUCCAUGCCGUAAACGAUGUGUGCUAGACGUUGGGAAUUUAUUUUUCAGUGUCGCAGCAAAAGCGUUAAGCACACCGCC